rnacentral:rRNA from 1 species
GAAUUUUAUAAAAUUAUUUUAUUAUUUUUUAAAAAUAAUAUUUAUUUAAUUGGGAGGAUUUUUAAAUUUAAUAAACUUUAAAAAAUUUAAAAUUUAAACAUAAAUUUAUGAAAAUUAAAUAAUAAAUUAAUAAUUAUUAAUUAAGUAAAAAUUAAUUACCUUAGGGAUAACAGCAUAAAAUUUUUUUGUAGUUCGUAUAUAAAAAAAUAUUUGU